UGGGGAAUUUUGGACAAUGGGCGCAAGCCUGAUCCAGCCAUGCCGCGCGCGGGAAGAAGGCCUUCGGUUGUAAACCGCUUUUGNCAGGGAAGAAAUCUUCUGAGUUAAUACCUCGGGAGGAUGACGGUACCUGAAGAAUAAGCACCGGCUAACUACGUGCCAGCAGCCGCGGUAAUACGUAGGGUGCAAGCGUUAAUCGGAAUACUGGGCGUAAAGCGUGCGCAGGCGGUUUGUAAGACAGAGGUGAAAUCCCCGGGCUCAACCUGGGAACUGCCUUUGUGACUGCAAGGCUUGAGUGCGGCAGAGGGGGGAUGGAAUUCCGCGUGUAGCAGUGAAAUGCGUAGAUAUGCGGAGGAACACCGAUGGCGAAGGCAAUCCCCUGGGCCUGCACUGACGCUCAUGCACGAAAAGCGUGGGGAGCAAACAGGAUUAGAUACCCUGGUAGUCACGCCCUAAACGAUGUCAACUGGUUGUUGGGAAGGUUCCUUCUCAGUAACGUAGCUAACGCGUGAAGUUGAUCGCCUGGGGAGUACGGCCGC
rnacentral:rRNA from 1 species